UACAGAGGGUGCGAGCGUUAAUCGGAAUUACUGGGCGUAAAGGGCGCGUAGGCGGAAUGGCAAGUCGGUCGUGAAAUCCUUCGGCUCAACCGAAGAACGUCGAUCGAAACUGCCGUUCUUGAGGAUUGCAGAGGAGACUGGAAUUCCCGGUGUAGCGGUGAAAUGUGUAGAGAUCGGGAGGAACACCGGUGGCGAAGGCGGGUCUCUGGGCAUUAACUGACGCUGAGGAGCGAAAGCAUGGGGAGCGAACAGG
rnacentral:rRNA from 1 species